GACGAACGCUGGCGGCGUGCUUAACACAUGCAAGUCGAGCGGUAAGGCCCUUUCGGGGGUACGACGAGCGGCGAACGGGUGAGUAACACGUGGGUGACCUGCCCUCAGCUCUGGGAUAAGCCUGGGAAACCGGGUCUAAUACUGGAUAUGACUCCAUGACGCAUGUUGGUGGGGUGGAAAGCCUUGUGCGGCUGAGGAUGGGCCCGCGGCCUAUCAGCUUGUUGGUGGGGUGANGGCCUACCAAGGCGACGACGGGUAGCCGGCCUGAGAGGGCGACCGGCCACACUGGGAC
rnacentral:rRNA from 1 species